GUUUUACUGUUUUCAUCUGUCAACCUUAGUAUGACACAUCUCCGAAGCAGUUAAUAAAGGGAAUUUAUUUUCUUUAAUCACAAUUGUCAUCUUCAGAAUUGUAUUGAAGCAACAUUUUUACAAUAUCUGUAUGACCCAAUCUAGAUGCAAUAGAUAAAGGGGAUUCGUUUGUAUCAGUGCAAAUAUUAGGAUCAGAAUUGUG
rnacentral:lncRNA from 1 species